rnacentral:misc_RNA from 1 species
UCGUGCCCAGCAUCAUGCUGGUGCUGGGCAAGCACUCGCAAAUCGCGGCGAUCAUCUUCCCGAUUGUCUUUGUGUUGGGCUUCUUUGCCAUUUUCUGGCUGCGCUCGCGCCGCCAGGACAAGGAUUAGAGCGCAUCCCGAAAAGUGUGAAACGGUUUUCGGAAAAGAUGCGCGACAAAACAAAUAGUUAGAGCGCCGAUCUGAUUUAAU